rnacentral:ncRNA from 1 species
UAUUAUUAGGGGUGCGCCGCGGCAGUCACUGCGAUGCCAUGGAGCUGAGAUUAUACCCUUUGAACCUGAUGCGGUUAAUACCGCCGUAGUGAAAAUAU